GGGGUACUCGAGCGGCGAACGGGUGAGUAACACGUGAGCAACCUGCCCUCAGCUCUGGGAUAGCUCCGGGAAACCGGAAUUAAUACCGGAUAUGACUGCGGCCGACAUCGGCUGCGGUGAAAAGGAUUCCGGCUGAGGAUGGGCUCGCGGCCUAUCAGCUAGUUGGUGGGGUAACGGCCCACCAAGGCGACGACGGGUAGCCGGCCUGAGAGGGCGACCGGCCACACUGGGACUGAGACACGGCCCAGACUCCUACGGGAGGCAGCAGUGGGGAAUAUUGCGCAAUGGGCGAAAGCCUGACGCAGCGACGCCGCGUGGGGGAUGAAGGCCUUCGGGUUGUAAACCCCUUUCAGCAGGGACGAAGCGAAAGUGACGGUACCUGCAGAAGAAGCGCCGGCUAACUACGUGCCAGCAGCCGCGGUAAU
rnacentral:rRNA from 1 species